rnacentral:rRNA from 1 species
AGUGAACGCUGGCGGUGGACCUAACACAUGCAAGUCGAACGGCAGCACAGUAAGAGCUUGCUCUUACGGGUGGCGAGUGGCGGACGGGUGAGGAAUACAUCGGAAUCUACUUUUUCGUGGGGGAUAACGUAGGGAAACUUACGCUAAUACCGCAUACGACCUACGGGUGAAAGCAGGGGAUCUUCGGACCUUGCGCGAUUGAAUGAGCCGAUGUCGGAUUAGCUAGUUGGCGGGGUAAAGGCCCACCAAGGCGACGAUCCGUAGCUGGUCUGAGAGGAUGAUCAGCCACACUGGAACUGAGGCACGGUCCAGACUCCUACGGGAGGCAGCAGUGGGGAAUAUUGGACAAUGGGCGCAAGCCUGAUCCAGCCAUACCGCGUGGGUGAAGAAGGCCUUCGGGUUGUAAAGCCCUUUUGUUGGGAAAGAAAAGCAGCAGGUUAAUACCCCGCUGUUCUGACGGUACCCAAAGAAUAAGCACCGGCUAACUUCGUG